CAGGGGCAGCCGUGGGUGGGGAGGUGGCUGCGCCUGGGCCGUCCCGUCCCGUCCCGGAGCUGCCCCGUGGUGGCGGCCGGCCCUGAGGUGAAGUAGUCUCCGGCGUGUGGCGCAGUGCCCGGGCGCCCUGUGAGGGGGUCAGCGGGGUCCCCGGGCGCUGCCCGCCCUUCUCUCCGGCGGGACUUGGUGCCCGAACGGGCGGCCCGCGACUGGGCUGGGGCUGCGCCUCAGGCGGGUGAGGGAAGGCUGCCCCGGGCCGUGGCCCUUCAGCAGCGCCCGUGUCGACCUUUCACGUGGAGGGGAUCCGGGAGAGCCGCGCUGCCCGCAGCUCACUGCUCCACGGUGUGUCCAUUGCCCUCGUGCUGUGUAUGUCCAGCGCGGCACAUCACAGCAGAAAUUAAACACCCCAGAGAGAGAAUUGGACCCACAAGUGUGUGACCCGGCGGUGCGCGGGCCAUGAGGAUGAGAGUGGACUCCCGAAGCGCCUUCAGCCUAGUGCAGGUGCAGCCCCCGAGUCCUGCUUGGCCCUGGGCUGGAUGGGUGUACUCCGAGGGGCUUUGCCUCCUCCCAGCAGGGUUCAUGCUGGCUAUGAAAGGGAGGGAAAUGAAGGCUGCUCUUCUGAAAUCCACUGUGAUGGUGGGGACAGACAGGUUAUGUGACAUGCUCAAGAUCACACGAGCAGUCUGUGUCAGAGUGGGAAACUGCACCUGGAUCUCUCACUUGUGAGGCUGUUGUUCUUAGGACUUUGUCCUUCUGACUUCAAGCAAAGAUUGACUUUGUCUGUGUCCUUUCUAUGCCUACAAAUGGUUAAAGUCCAUUGCUCAUAGAAAUGGUACACUCUGGGCAGAGUUCUCCACAUUCCCCUGUGCUGACACCAAGGUGCAGAGACCAUGCCUACAUAUCUGCAGGGAGCAUGUUGGAAUGUCCAUCAGCCUCGGGCUUCUCCCAGCCACCGCUGUGGGGCCAGGAGCUCAGGCCUCUUGCCUCCCGAGUUAUUGUCCUCAUGCACAGAACUCUCCAAGUCCGCAUGUCAGACUCUACAUGAGGCCUCAGAAUAGAAGCCACAGUGGCAAAGGGAGGAGCCACAGCAGCCUGAUGGGGAGAUGGGUGACAUCACACUGGAGUGGCCAACCUUGCUUCAGUAGCUGGAAGGGGGCAUGUCCAGGACUCAGAGGUUAUUCUACACUACCUCACAUCACUGCAAGGGGUGGAAGAGGGAGUCUCUUCCAGGAAGAAGGGAUUCCUUGCAGUCGAGCAAGCAAGUCAAGGCAGAUGGAGCAGGAGGGUAACACUCGUCGUGAGCCAGAGAGAGUGAGUUGGAUGAUGCUGGACCCAAGGGAGACGGAGCAGUUGGGGGGAGGUGGCUGUGUUCAGUUAUUGUGUGUUGUUGGGGCUUUCCGUAGUGAGCAAUAAUGUUUCUUUUCUUGUACCCUCUGUCAGCAAUGUUGUUUCUGUUACUGCUUGUUUUCUUAUCUCAUUGUUGUUUCCAGUAAAUUGUUCUUAUCUCAACCUGUGAUCUUUACUUUUUGUGCCUCCAAGUCUCUUCUCCAUCCCACCACAGGGGAGAGGGGGAAAGGGGAGGAGCAAGCAAGCAGCAGUGUGGUUUGGAGUCUCAGUGUGAGCACUAAACUGGGGAGUGCCAUUCCUGAACAACAACAUCUGGUAAAGAAAAUUUGACUGAUGCCGUUUUUGAAACAAGACCGUUCUGUUUAGGCAGAAAUGGCAUUUAUAAUAAAUACAGUACUGGUGGAAGAAAGACAAAUCUAUUGUCUGAGAAGAACAAGCUAUUUAAAUUCCACAGUGAUGGAAAAAUUGAAGGGAAAGAGAUGGCUGAGCGGCUUUGUGAGUCGCACAAUGCCUCGAGUGCUGCAAUGAGAGCAGAAAAUAAUAGUGAUCUGCUUUAGAGAUUGUGUCUGUUUCAAACACUCAUCAUUUCAAACAAUGAUGACAACUCUUCCAGUCUCAUUUUAGUACUGUUGCUGUUAUGGAAACUUUCUCUGUCCUCAUCAGCUCGAUUAUGUGUCUUUACAACACUAAUGAAUCACAGCUGACACUUCAGGGACUCAGCCUCUUUUGAAGGUAUUUGCUUCCUUCGUAAGCUCUUUGGUCAAGUUUAAAAACUUAUUUUCAGAGGCUGGGUGAACUGUAUGAAGAGAUUUUGAGGAUUCAUUGAGAAACAAGUGAAAACAGCAAUGACUGUUUAUGUAUUGGUACUUCUACCACUGAUACCUUUUUAAACUAUGCCUUUAAAUUUUUGAGAGGCAGUCAGAUGUAGACA
rnacentral:lncRNA from 13 species